rnacentral:rRNA from 1 species
CAGCCGCCGCGGUAAUACGGAGGGUGCAAGCGUUAUCCGGAUUCACUGGGUUUAAAGGGUGCGUAGGCGGGCUUGUAAGUCCGUGGUGAAAUCUCUGGGCUUAACCCGGAAACUGCCAUGGAUACUAUAGGUCUUGAAUACCCGGGAGGUGAGCGGAAUAUGUCAUGUAGCGGUGAAAUGCUUAGAUAUGACAUAGAACACCAAUUGCGAAGGCAGCUCACUACAGGGUCAUUGACGCUGAGGCACGAAAGCGUGGGGAUCAAACAGGAUUAGAUACCCUGGUAGUCCACGCCCUAAACUAUGGAUACUCGACGCCAGCGAUAUGACUGUUGGCGUCUGAGCGAAAGCAUUAAGUAUCCCACCUGGGAAGUACGACCGCAAGGUUGAAACUUAAAGGAAUUGGCGGG